CCUACGGGAGGCAGCAGUGAGGAAUAUUGGUCAAUGGGCGCGAGCCUGAACCAGCCAAGUAGCGUGAAGGAUGACUGUCCUACGGGUUGUAAACUUCUUUUAUGAAGGAAUAAAGUGAGGCACGUGUGCCGUUUUGUAUGUACUUUAUGAAUAAGGAUCGGCUAACUCCGUGCCAGCAGCCGCGGUAAUACGGAGGAUCCGAGCGUUAUCCGGAUUUAUUGGGUUUAACGGGAGCGUAGGUGGGUUGUUAAGUCAGUUGUGAAAGUUUGCGGCUCAACCGUAAAAUUGCAAUUGAAACUGGCAGUCUUGAGUACAGUAGAGGUAGGCGGAAUUCGUGGUGUAGCGGUGAAAUGCUUAGAUAUCACGAAGAACUCCGAUUGCGAAGGCAGCUUGCUGAACUGCCACUGACGUUGAUGCUCGAAAGUGUGGGUAUCAAACAGGAUUAGAUACCCCUGUAGUC
rnacentral:rRNA from 1 species